ACGAACGCUGGCGGCGUGCUUAACACAUGCAAGUCGAACGGAAGGGCCCUGCUUUUGUGUGGUGCUCGAGUGGCGAACGGGUGAGUAACACGUGAGUAACCUGCCCUUGACUUUGGGAUAACUUCAGGAAACUGGGGCUAAUACCGGAUAGGAGCUCCUGCUGCAUGGUGGGGGUUGGAAAGUUUCGGCGGUUGGGGAUGGACUCGCGGCUUAUCAGCUUGUUGGUGGGGUAGUGGCUUACCAAGGCUUUGACGGGUAGCCGGCCUGAGAGGGUGACCGGCCACAUUGGGACUGAGAUACGGCCCAGACUCCUACGGGAGGCAGCAGUGGGGAAUAUUGCACAAUGGGCGGAAGCCUGAUGCAGCAACGCCGCGUGCGGGAUGACGGCCUUCGGGUUGUAAACCGCUUUCGCCUGUGACGAAGCGUGAGUGACGGUAAUGGGUAAAGAAGCACCGGCUAACUACGUG
rnacentral:rRNA from 1 species